rnacentral:rRNA from 1 species
AGAAUCAACGCUGGCGGCGUGCCUAACACAUGCAAGUCGAACGAGAAAGUGGAGCAAUCCAUGAGUAAAGUGGCGCACGGGUGAGUAACACGUGACUAACCUACCCUUGAGUGGGGGAUAACCUAGAGAAAUCUGGGCUAAUACCGCAUAAUACCUUCGGGUCAAAGGAGCAAUUCGCUUAAGGAGGGGGUCGCGGCCGAUUAGUUAGUUGGCGGGGUAAUGGCCCACCAAGACUAUGAUCGGUAUCCGGCCUGAGAGGGCGCACGGACACACUGGAACUGAAACACGGUCCAGACUCCUACGGGAGGCAGCAGUGGGGAAUUUUGCGCAAUGGGGGAAACCCUGACGCAGCAACGCCGCGUGGAGGAUGAAGUCCCUUGGGACCGUAAACUCCUUUCGAUCGGGACGAUUAUGACGGUACCGGAAGAAGAAGCCCCGGCUAACUUCGCGCCAGCAGCCGC